rnacentral:lncRNA from 1 species
CUUGGUUUGUGACCACGCCCGACCAGCCAAUGAAAUAGUCCGGUUUUGGUAACUGGUCGUCCAGCUUGGGUUCUGGGUAGCAACAAUCCAGUACAUCUGGUGACGCCGCCACGUCUCUGUGGCAGUUUAUUUUGGGCGUCACGGCUGUUACCCAAAGUCAGGAGUAAUGUGUUUCAUUCGCAGACAUCUAAACCCCCAACCGCAGGCAUGUUUUCUUCCAGGGCAGAGGGCAAAUGCAAUUACAUCUGUGACCAAUUUGCACAGCUGGACGCUCAGUCUCCUGACAGAAACAUUUAUUUGAGAUUCGGGGGAGCUGGGUUCGCCAGACAGGAAGCAAGGUCCAGCAGGCAUUGUGUUGGCCAGUCGGUGAAUGCUUGCUAGCCCGCAGAACAAAACAGAAACUGUCACCGUCAACGUUGACAUUUCAUGGCUGAGAAGGAGAGUGUUCUUCCUACACACGAGGAGAGAUUUGAAGGCACAGACAAGAGUAAGAAUUUUGAAAACAAGAAGUGGUUGCUGCUGAGUCUGGUGCAAACCCAGAGCGCACAUUUUGCACAGACAGGCUGAGGAAGGCCGGCUGCCCCUUCCGUCCAUGGUAUGAUGGCCACGUCUUCCCACCCAGGCCUUUUCGCACAUCUCUUCGGACUCGUCAGCUUUUGAAGGAACAGAAAACGUUUUCAGAACCCGAGAAAAAGAAGUACCGGCUCUUCCAAAUUCAAGAGAGAAAAGUCUAAGCCGAAAUUAAAAUAGCAUUUGUCUUCUUAAGAAGUAUCGGAAACCACUCUGAUCUCUGGCGGGUUCCCUGUUACUUUGAAGCAUUCUGUGCCUCUCGCAUGUCUUAACGUCUGGGUAGGAAGACCUCAGAAGAGAUCUGUGAGUUUGUGCUUGCUUGUGGUGGCUGUUUGCUGUGCGGUGAAAACAAGGCACCCCAGACUUCAGAAGCAAAAUGAAAUAAACUUCUUGGUUCAUGCGCAAACUGUGCAGAAUGGGCUUUGUGUGGGAGCCGGCAAAGGUGGAAGUGCCAUUCAAAAGUUGCCAGAGCCCAAGAAUAGACUUGCCUUGGUGAGGCUUCUGGACUGCCUCCAGUUCCUAGCAAGAGCCAUGCCCGGCCUUCCUGAAGUGCACCAUUGAGAAAACGCCUUGAGAAUAGGUUGACUGACACGGGGAGCAACAUGGAGAGAAUGGCUUUAAUGAGCCAAAAAAUGUGGUUUCAAAUGCCCGUCUCCCAGUGUCACUGCUGGCCUUUGCCAGCAGAGGCAAAGUCUUGUUCACUGGCGCAAACUCCGAGAAACACCGAGCAAGCCUGCACCAACUCCAAGCCAGUCGGCAGCAUUCACAUUCAAGUCUAGAACUUUCGCUCUUCGGGAGGACGGAUAUGUAUGAGCUGAUGGGGAGCUGUUUGGCCUUGAAUACGGGCUAGCGUGCAGAGGGAGCCCUCAGGUCCCCAGCAGGGAGAGGUUUUGGUGGGGCCUUGCCCUUAGCAGCUGGAUUUGAUGGUCACCAAAUCACCAAACCACCGUGAGAUCAAGGAAGCGGUGCCAACAACAUGGAGAGAGUGUCUGGGAGGAGAGUCUGGAU